GCAGACGUAACCAAGCGGUCGACGGUGCCGGUCUCGAAAACCGGUUGGCAAAUGCCUUCGGGGGUUCAAAUCCCCUCGUCUGCG
rnacentral:tRNA from 1 species